AGUAACGCGUGGGUAACCUGCCUUAUACAGGGGGAUAACAGUCAGAAAUGGCUGCUAAUACCGCAUAAGCGCACAGAGCUGCAUGGCUCAGUGUGAAAAACUCCGGUGGUAUAAGAUGGACCCGCGUUGGAUUAGCUAGUUGGUGGGGUAGCGGCCCACCAAGGCGACGAUCCAUAGCCGGCCUGAGAGGGUGAACGGCCACAUUGGGACUGAGACACGGCCCAG
rnacentral:rRNA from 1 species